rnacentral:rRNA from 1 species
AAACGAUUGAAGUCAGUCGUGUCUAUUGGACUCAGCCGGUUCUGCCGGUGUACUUCCUUUAGAUGGGGUCAACAUCAGUUUUGAUCGCUGGAAAAGGGCAGGAGGAAUGUAGCACUCUCGGGUGAACUUAUAGCCUUCUGUCGCAUACAGUGGUUGGGACUGAGGAACGCAGCUUGCCUUUAUGGCCGGGAUUUAUCCACGUACAAGCUUAGGAUGUUGACAUAAUGGCUUUAAACGA